rnacentral:lncRNA from 1 species
CCUAAGAGUGCCAAUGUGAGUUGGAGAGGGCUUGGUGUGAGCCCAAGGGGGCGGAGGCAUGGUGAGGAUCGUGUGCGGUGUUCGAUGUCAGCGCCGUGCCAUUUUGAGCUACAAGUGGAAUCUAAGGAUUCCGGUUUAGAGAGGUGAUAUUGAUGGUACCUUAUGUAUGCUUACCGAAUUUGGGGUCAUUUGGAGUACGUUUGGAUAGGGGCUUGACUUGGCCAAAGUUCAGUGGCAUUGUCGUAAUUUUCUGAUUGGUCCGAAGGCCAUAACUCAUUCCAUGUGUAUGGGAAUGGGAUGAAACUUCAUGGAGGUGUGAAGGAAGUCAAGAGAAAGGAG